CCUACGGGAGGCAGCAGUAGGGAAUAUUGCUCAAUGGGGGAAACCCUGAAGCAGCAACGCCGCGUGGAGGAUGAAGGUUUUCGGAUUGUAAACUCCUGUUGUUAGAGAAGAUAAUGACGGUAUCUAACGAACAAGCACCGGCUAACUCCGUGCCAGCAGCCGCGGUAAUACGGAGGGUGCAAGGGUUACUCGGAAUCACUGGGCGUAAAGAGAGCGUAGGCGGGAUAGCAAGUCAGAUGUGAAAUCCUAUGGCUUAACCAUAGAACUGCAUUUGAAACUGUUAUUCUAGAGUAUGGGAGAGGUAGGUGGAAUUCUUGGUGUAGGGGUAAAAUCCGUAGAGAUCAAGAGGAAUACUCAUUGCGAAGGCGACCUGCUAGAACAUAACUGACGCUGAUGCGCGAAAGCGUGGGGAGCAAACAGGAUUAGAUACCCGGGUAGUC
rnacentral:rRNA from 1 species